rnacentral:rRNA from 1 species
CCUACGGGAGGCAGCAGUAAGGAAUAUUGGUCAAUGGAGGCAACUCUGAACCAGCCAUGCCGCGUGCAGGAUGACGGCCCUAUGGGUUGUAAACUGCUUUUGUACCAGAGAAAACCUACUCACGUGUGAGUAGCUGAUAGUAUGGUAAGAAUAAGCAUCGGCUAACUUCGUGCCAGCAGCCGCGGUAAGACGAAGGAUGCAAGCGUUAUCCGGAUUCAUUGGGUUUAAAGGGUGCGUAGGCGGACUUGUAAGUCAGUGGUGAAAUCUCUUCGCUUAACGAAGAAACUGCCAUUGAUACUGCGGGUCUAGAGUAUAGAUGACGUUGGCGGAAUAUGACAUGUAGUGGUGAAAUACUUAGAUAUGUCAUAGAACACCGAUUGCGAAGGCAGCUAACGAAACUAUAACUGACGCUGAGGCACGAAAGUGCGGGGAUCAAACAGGAUUAGAUACCCUGGUAGUCCGCACCGUAAACGAUGAUUACUCGUUGUUGGCGAUAUGACAGUCAGCGACCAAGCGAAAGCGANAAGUAAUCCACCUGGGGAGUACGCCGGCGAACGGUGAAACGUCGAAAGGAAUUAGACGG